rnacentral:rRNA from 2 species
GUAGAUAUAUGGAAGAACACCAGUGGCGAAGGCGGCUUUCUGGUCUGUUACUGACGCUGAGGCUCGAAAGCAUGGGUAGCGAACAGGAUUAGAUACCCUGGUAGUCCAUGCCGUAAACGAUGAAUACUAGGUGUUGGAGGGUUUCCGCCCUUCAGUGCCGCAGCUAACGCAUUAAGUAUUCCGCCUGGGGAGUACGACCGCAAGGUUGAAACUCAAAGGAAUUGACGGGGGCCCGCACAAGUGGUGGAGCAUGUGGUUUAAUUCGAUGCUACGCGAAGAACCUUACCAGCUCUUGACAUCUUCUGCCAACCCAAGAGAUUGGGCGUUCCCUUCGGGGACAGAAUGACAGGUGGUGCAUGGUUGUCGUCAGCUCGUGUCGUGAGAUGUUGGGUUAAGUCCCGCAACGAGCGCAACCCUUAUUAUUAGUUGCCAGCAUUUAGUUGGGCACUCUAGUGAGACUGCCGGUGAUAAACCGGAGGAAGGUGGGGACGACGUCAAAUCAUCAUGCCCCUUAUGAGCUGGGCUACACACGUGCUACAAUGGAUGGUACAACGAGUCGCGAAACCGCGAGGUCAAGCUAAUCUCUUAAAGCCAUUCUCAGUUCGGAUUGCAGGCUGCAACUCGCCUGCAUGAAGUUGGAAUCACUAGUAAUCGUGGAUCAGCAUGCCACGGUGAAUACGUUCCCGGGCCUUGUACACACCGCCCGUCACACCAUGAGAGUUUGUACACCCAAAG